GACGAACGCUGGCGGCGCGCUUAACACAUGCAAGUCGAACGGAAAGGCCUGCUUUCCCUUGUGGAUUGCGGGUACUCGAGUGGCGAACGGGUGAGUAACACGUGAGUGAUCUGCCCCCAACUUGGGUAUAAGCCUGGGAAACUGGGUCUAAUUCCCGAUAGGACUGCAGGGUGGUGCCGGUGGUGGAACACGAUUUUCUAGUGGUUGGGGAUGAGCUCGCGGCCUAUCAGCUUGUUGGUGGGGUAAUGGCCUACCAAGGCGGCGACGGGUAGCCGGCCUGAGAGGGUGGACGGGCACAUUGGGACUGAGAUACGACCCAGACUCCGACGGGAGGCAGCAGUGGGGAAGAGUGGACGAUGGGCGGAAGCCUGAUGCAGCGACGCCGCGUGGGGGAUGACGGCCUUCGGGUUGUAAACUCCUUUCGACCGCGAGGAAGCCACCUGGUUGGAAGGGUGGUGACGGUAGUGGUAGAAGAAGCACCGGCUAACUACGUG
rnacentral:rRNA from 1 species